rnacentral:lncRNA from 1 species
GGGACUGUCCGACCAGCACCUUUCUUGUGGGCCCUUGGGGUGAGAAGUCUCCCGGAGACGGAGACCGGUGCUGUGCCGCGUGCUGGUAGGUCACCACGCAGCGCCAAGUGACGGAGAGGACAGUGCACACCGGAAGCACCGGCGGCUUGCUCUGGGCUCUGGGUGCAUCUGGGCGAAGCUGGCCUGAUGAUCGGGAGCUGAGGCGCUGUCCCCUCCCUGUCAGUCGGCGUCAGGGACUCCUCCCUCCCUCCCCUCAACCCCGAAGCUGGUGCAGCCCGGCUCCUGCUGCCUAGGAGGGGGCCCUGGGCUCCCAGCGCCCUCUUCCUGCAACUGCGUCCUCUCUCCUCUCCCGGGCCCCUGCUCCUUCCCCGGGCUGGACUUGUGCCAUGGAUCUGUGGCCCUGCGAUGGCCUGGAGCCCUGGGUGCGGAUGAGGUGUGGCCCUCGGGACACCUAGUGGACCCUCUGUGUCGCCUGAGCCCGGCCCUAGCUGAAAACAGGUACACAUCUAUGGAGAGAACAGUACAUAUAGGGCUGGCUGCUAUCUGUGGCUUCAGAUAUCCACUGGGGUCUUGGAACAUAAUGAGCUUCCUCCUCCUUGUGCUGGGCACGGAAGACCCUGAAAUUUCCGGGCGAGGCCCAUGGAUGUCGCCAUCGCCGAGGGUCGCUGACCCCAUGCUCGACCCCCUCAGUCACCAUGGCGCCCUGCAGGAUGCAUGGACCCCCCGGAUGAGCAGCAGUCUCGAGGGGCCCCCUCUGCGGCGGCGGGGUGGCGUGGUGGACCACAGGGAUGUCAUCUUGGCCCACCAGGCGCACAAGACCCACAGUACCCCGCAGGCCCGGAGGAAGGAGUGGGAGUGAGUAUACCUGAGCGGGUGGGGGGCCUGGGGGCAGGCGGAGCUGUCUUGGGGCCAACUGUGGGGUGCAGAGUCGCAAGCUGGAGCGUGCAGAGGAGGGCACACUGGCUGUGGAAUCUCAGUGCCCACUAAUCCAUCCUAGUUUUCUUUUCCAGUACUGAGGAUUGAACCCAGGGCCUCUGCACUGAGCCCUAGUACUUUUUAAAAGUUUUAAUUUUGAGACAGGGUCUUGCCAAGUUGCUAAGCUGCUCAGGCUGAGCUCAAACUUGGGAUCUCCCUGCCUCAGCCUCCCAGAGCACUGGGAUGACUGGUGUACGGCAAUAUGCCCAAUUAGUUCCCAGGUCUUAAGUCACCCCAAAUAUGCGGGAUUCGAUCCUUAACCCUGGAUUUCCCCACACAUGAUGCAGCAAUAAAGGAGCUCAGCAAUACGGGGAGGACCUGCUGAAGGGGGUCUGGGAGAUGCGGCUGUCUGGAGGAACUCGCAGGAACCCCACUUCCGCUCCACGGGAGUCUAACCCUGUGGGUUUGGGGGCAGAGACGGAACCGUGUGCUGAAGGCAGAGAGGGCUAGGAGGACUGUGACAGCCUUGGCAGAGCUGGCACCUGGGCCCCCGCUCUUUGCCAGUGACCCCCAACGUAGGUUUUCUCCAGGGGCAUUCAGGGGCAUUCAGGGGCGGGGCCAGGGCUCCCCGGUGACCUUGGUGGCCCAGCUGUCCCCGGGCGCUGGAGGACCAAGGUGGCUCGCGCCAAAGUUUAGUCCUCUCUGUGCGGUGUCUCGUGUUCUUUUCUUUGUGCUGCUUUUAAAAUUUUGAGUUUUCGUUAAUUUUGUUUGCUUUUGCUCUAGCGUUUCUUUAGCAAAGACGCGAGGUUGGGUUUCGGUGACGAUGGGGACCCUGGCUGUCCACGGGGGUUCGGGGCUGUCACUGCCCCAGGCCACUUGCUUCUGCUUCUGCUGGACGGAGCGGGCUCUACAUCUCUGUGGGUUGAGGGCCGAUGUAGACGCGAG